UACGUAGGGGGCAAGCGUUGUCCGGAAUCAUUGGGCGUAAAGCGCGUGUAGGCGGCUCGGUAAGUCCGCUCUGAAAGCCCGGGGCUCAACCCCGGGAGGCGGGUGGAUACUGCUGAGCUCGAGUCCGGAAGAGGAGUGUGGAAUUCCUGGUGUAGCGGUGAAAUGCGCAGAUAUCAGGAGGAACACCAAUGGCGAAGGCAGCACUCUGGGACGGUACUGACGCUGAGACGCGAAAGCGUGGGAGC
rnacentral:rRNA from 1 species